rnacentral:rRNA from 1 species
CAAUAGCGUAUGUUAAAGUUGUUGCGGCUAAAAAGCUCGUAGUUGGAUUUCUAGAUGAGAGGAGUGGUCCACUCUAUGAGUGUGUAUCUACUUCCGCUCGUCUAUCCGCUCUGCAAACGUGUCUGCGCUUGACUGCGUGGUACGGAGGUAGGGCCUUUUACUUUGAGGAAAUUAGAGUGUUCACGGCAGGCAAUCGCCUUGAAUAUAUUAGCAUGGAAUAAUAGAAUAGGACUUUGGUUCUAUUUUGUUGGUUUCUAGGACCGAAGUAAUGAUUAAUAGGGACAGUGGGGGCAUUUUUAUUCCAUUGUCAGAGGUGAAAUUCUUGGAUUAACGGAAGAAAAACUACUGCGAAAGCAUCUGCCAAGGAUGUUUUCAUUGAUCAAGAACGAAAGUUAGGGGAUCGAAGACGAUCAGAUACCG